AAAACCUGGCUGUGCCCUGUUGAAAUCAAUUCUGUUGCAGUCAUAUGCGGUGGAAUCUGUUCUUCUUUUGCAUCCUACGUAACCAGACCAAGCUGUGGGGUCCUAGACCAGCUGCCGAAGCUACCUUUCCUGAGAACUAAAAUCCUUGCCUGAUUUCUGAACAAAUGGGGCCUCCACUUGAAAGAGUGGAUAGAGGAAUGGUUUUUGUGAUGGCAAGGAAUAGAGCCUGCCACAGCGGGCUAACAACCACACUCAUGAAGUUUCAUGGAGGAGAUCUUGCUUAUGUUGAAUUCAACAGAAGCCGACAGGUAAUACAGUUGAGAAAGGUUGAAAAGGCAGAGAGAGAGAGCUGCUUCUGCAAGUGUAUUGAACAAUCAAAGGCAAAUAAUUCGUUACAGCUGGGCAUUCUGUACAUGUAGAUUAGUGAGAGAUGACUGCAGAGGUCAGCAGACCUCGUGCCAUAAAGACAACAUGGAAGCAGGGAGUCAAGUUCUCAUACCUUUGGGCAUUCAUUCUGAAAUUGCUAAAGAAGCAAAUAAAUGUCUGUCUGGGCUUUCCCGCCAUACAUGACUGAGAAUAUCCAGACAUUUCUCUAUAUUAAAGAAAAAGGAGAGAGCAGUCAUUACUUAGAAUGUCUUUUUGUGCUUGCGCGCACGUGCUCUCUCUCUCUCUCUCUCCCCCUAGCUAAACCUUGGCUGGGGAGUUUUCUGCAUUUUGCUAAGCUAGAUUGUACUCAAUGGGUUAUAGAGCCCCAGAAGAUUUUUCAGCUACACUUCGCCCACUAAAACCUUUGGAGAAAAGAGGCUGAAUGCUUGCAGUGAAACUAGUCCUGCUACCCUAAUCAUUGUUGAUCAGGCCAAGAAACCAGUACCUGAACCCAAAUUUGUCCCAGUAAGAACUCACCAUAUUGGGUAAAGACAAACCAACAAAAUUAGAUCUCCUCACCUUGAGAAGGGAAACUGAAUGAGAGAUGUAUGCUAGAAAUGUCAGUAGCAGAAGCAACGUGCAGAGGAGGAAGGAGAGAGGGCAGAGGAGGAAGGAGAGAGGGCAGAGGGAAAGAGCUAGAGAGAAAAAGAAAAAGAGGAAAGUGAACAACAGCUGGGCUCUGGAAAUUAACAUAAUAAGUCUCUGGCUAUUGGAAACUGAGGAGGAAAAAAGAACACAGAAAGUGUCAAUCAACUCUCAGACAAUUCUUUAGUGACAUGGACCAUAUUAUCAUGAUUAUCUUCAGUUCAUAGGAAUCAUUAAAUCUAUUCCCAAAAUGCAAUCUAAU
rnacentral:lncRNA from 10 species